rnacentral:rRNA from 1 species
CAGGACGAACGCUGGCGGCGUGCUUAACACAUGCAAGUCGAACGAGGUUAGAGACUCGGUUUUGACCGAGUGGCGGACGGGUGAGUAACGCGUGAGCAAUCUGUCCCAGACAGGGGGAUAACAACUGGAAACAGUUGCUAAUACCGCAUAAGACCACGAAGUCGCAUGGCUUUGAGGUAAAAGGAGUAAUCCGGUUUGGGGUGAGUUCGCGUCUGAUUAGAUAGUUGGCGAGGUAACGGCUCACCAAGUCGACGAUCAGUAGCCGACCUGAGAGGGUGACCGGCCACAUUGGGACUGAGACACGGCCCAGACUCCUACGGGAGGCAGCAGUGGGGAAUUAAUUGGGCAAUGGGGGAAACCCUGACCCAGCAACGCCGCGUGAGGGAAGAAGGUUUUCGGAUUGUAAACCUCUGUCCUUGGGGACGAACAAAUGACGGUACCCGAGGAGGAAGCCCCGGCUAACUACGUGCCAGCCGCCGC